rnacentral:rRNA from 1 species
GAUGAACGCUGACAGAAUGCUUAACACAUGCAAGUCAACUGUGGCGGACGGGUGAGUAACGCGUAAAGGACUUGCCUCUCAGCUAGGGACAACAUUUGGAAACGAAUGCUAAUACCGGAAACUGUGAGAGAGCUUUGCGUCCCAUUAGCUAGUAGGAGAGGUAACGGCUCACCAAGGCGAUGAUGGGUAGCCGGCCUGAGAGGGUGAUCGGCCACAAGGGGACUGAGACAAGGCCCUUACUCCGACGGGAGGUAGCAGUGGGGAAGAUUGGAAAAUGGACCAAAGUAUGAUCCAGCAAUUCUGUGUGCACGAUGAAGUUUUCGGAAUGUAAAGUGCUUUCAGUUGGGAAGCGGUACCAACAGAAGAAGUGACGGCUAAAUACGUGCCAGCCGCCGCAGUAAUAC